GCAUCCACAGGGUGACAAUUACCCUGCUUUAAAAAACAAACAAAAGGGAUGAUAUUGUGGCUUUGGCUUCUGGAAGCAGUUGAGGUUGAGGAUUUUGCUGGAGAGGGUGGGAUGCCUUCAGUGUCUGAGCUCACGAGGGCACCAAAUGAGUGAGAACAGUCACCUCCGAGCUGGUUCAGAUCCAGCUGGACAGAAUGGCUCCUUCCCAUCUCUCUCCCACGCAGAGCUGGAAGAACACGGCCCCAGGUGUCCCCAGGGUGAUGCCAGCCCCGUCCCAUGGGAGCAACACUGCCAGGGGCUGGCUCAGCCCCCCGGCUCCCAGCCCAGCCCCGGGGACCAGAGCAGCUCCAGCUCCAUCUGCACCGAGGACUUCGCUGCCAGGUUUCGGGAGGGGAUGGUGGAGCCCCUGCUGUUCUCCAAGGAGGAGGAAGAAGAGCCUGCUGGGGAUGUCCCUGCUGAGAGAGGUGAUGCUGGGCAGGAUGAGUCCUUGUUCCCCACAGGGAGAAGAUGGGAUGUCCAGCAACUGGUGGCAGUGGAGCCUGGCAGACAGCGCUUGCAGGGCAGGUCCCUACCUCUGCUGAGGAGAGAGAGCGUGGAGUCUCUGGGAGGCAGAAUAUCCAGACUGAGCCAGAGAGGUGCUUUGGGGCUGGCGUGGGGGGAUCACCCGCCAGCCCCCUCCUCACAGCCAGCCCUGGGAUGGGAGGACCCUCCCUGUGGUGGGUCAUGCUCUGGGAAAGACCCAUUGACCACCGCCUUGCCCAGUGGAGACCCAGCUGCUGGGCAUCCCUGGAGAGCCCCUGGCAUCUCUGCUGGCAGGAGUGGGGCCAGGGCAAGGAGGGGCUCUCCCAGUGGAUUUCCAGGAGCCAGAGGUGCUGGGAGCAGGGGACAUUCCACCGGCAAACCCUUGGGGCUGAGAUGGCAGAGGCCACCAGUUCUCCACAGACAGCGUGGAGCAGUUGUCACCCUCAGGGUGGAUGACGCGGAGAAGGACGGAGGCAGCAGCAGGCAGAGAGGAGCUCCCUGCCCAGCUCACCGUACUGACAAGGCAGCGGGACCUGCUGUGCCAUGUGGAAUGGGGGCAGAUGUGUCAUCCUGCCCAGGAGGAGCGGCUGAGCCCCAGCGGCAGCGUGGGAAGCAUAAAUCCAUGGUGCCCUGCAAGCCUGUUCCUGGCUGCCAAUGCACAGCAGGGCACCCUGUGUCACUGUCUUGGUCCCUGCAGAGGAGCCGGGAGGGGAUUCGAGAGCUGGGAUCCAGUGUGAAGGGGACAUGGCGCAAAGAGGACAGAGGCAGGUACGCCAGGGGAUCCGGGGAUGGAUUCUGCACUGAGUCUGAGCCCACAGAAUCUUGCCAGUGCCCUGGGAGCAGAAGAUGGCACUGGAAACUCUAGAGGGACCUGGGCCCCUGGGUGCUGGGUGGGCACCCCGUGGGGUGUCUGUCUGUGGGGAUGGGUGGUGGCACGGACGGGGACGUGAGUGACAAUGUCCCUGCCACAGGGCUAGGCUGGCACCGCUGGCACACACCCAGGAUGCCUGCCAUCAGGACCCAACAGCCCUGGAGAUGAUGGUGAGAUGACUCCAAGAUGGCCAGGGUGUGGGGGCUGGCCAGGCACAGCCGCUGGUGGCAGGGACGGGCUCAGGGGGUCUGCAGGGUGCCCUUGGUGGCUGGGGCACAGCGGGUUGCAGGAGGCUGUGCUGGCCAUGGCCACCAGCUCUGCUUCGGGAGGGAAGAGCAGUGAUGCUCCUGGGCAUGAUGGAGGGCUGGAGCCGGCUCCUGGAAGAGGCCGAGAGGUGGGAG
rnacentral:lncRNA from 1 species